rnacentral:rRNA from 1 species
UACGGGGGGGGCAAGCGUUGUUCGGAAUUACUGGGCGUAAAGGGCUCGUAGGUGGCCAACUAAGUCAGACGUGAAAUCCCUCAGCUUAACUGGGGAACUGCGUCUGAUACUGGAUGGCUUGAGUUUGGGAGAGGGAUGCGGAAUUCCAGGUGUAGUGGUGAAAUGCGUAGAUAUCUGGAGGAACACCGGUGGCGAAGGCGGCAUCCUGGACCAACACUGACACUGAGGAGCGAAAGCCAGGGGAGCAAACGGG